CAGCCGCGUAAUUCCAGCUCCAAUAGCGUAUAUUAAAGUUGUUGCAGUUAAAAAGCUCGUAGUUGAAUUUCGGGAUUGACACAUCGGUCGUGCCUUAAGGGGUAUGAACUGGUGUAGUCAAUUUCUCACCUUCUGGAGAACCGCGAUGCCCUUAAUUGGGUGUCACGGGGAACCAGGACCUUUACUUUGAAAAAAUUAGAGUGUUUAAAGCAGGCAUUUUGCUUGAAUACAUUAGCAUGGAAUAAUAAAAUAGGACGGCAUGAUUCUAUUUUGUUGGUUUCUAGGAUCACCGUAAUGAUUAAUAGGGAUAGUUGGGGGCAUUAGUAUUCAAUUGUCAGAGGUGAAAUUCUUGGAUUUAUUGAAGACUAACUACUGCGAAAGCAUUUGCCAAGGAUGUUUUCAUUAAUCAAGAACGAAAGUUAGGGGAUCGAAGACGAUCAGAUACCGUCGUAGUCUUAACCAUAAACUAUGCCGACUAGGAAUCAGACGAUGUUAAUUUUUUAAUGACUCGUUUGGCACCUUACG
rnacentral:misc_RNA from 1 species